AUCCUAGCAUCCUCUCACGUAAAUGAAGGAGGUGGUCUUGCUGUCGGGUCUCCCUUUCUUGGAGCCCCGUGUCUGGCUGCUGUGGCAGGUUUCUGACUUCAGUAAAUCCUGCCUUGCUCAAAAAAUAACAAAAACAAAACCAAGAGAACACUCAUAGGGAUGCUAAUACUAUAAUGCGCUCAUAAUUUGAGAUGCUUUGUAGGCUUGGAGGACCAUCAGGAACUUGCUGGAGAGGCCACACUCUGGGAGAGUUCAGCAGAAGCUGCACCGGGAAGAGGACACACCACUACAGGUGGCCUCUGACGAGCUGGGGGCAAUCCUGACUGACAGCCACGAGAAAUCAAUAGCAUUGCUCUGCAAGGCUUUGAACUUCGCCAGCAACAGAUGCACUUGAGGGAGGACUCUGAGCUCAGCUGCGUUUGCAGAAACAGGCGGUAUCGUGAUUUCCGCUCUGAGCAGAGAACCCAGCCAUUUUUGUGCCUGAACCCUGGACCAAGGAAACUUAUGGUCCAAACCCGCAGGUGUGCACCCAGACCGGAGACCCAUUGAAAAGCCCAGGUCAUCCCGCCCAGGAAAAGUCAGGCCGUAAGUUCACUUCAUCUACAUAAGGGCCGCCCAAAAUACCGAGGAUUUCCUGCCUUACUCAGUGCACAUGGAUUUUGAAUGUCCAUCUCAUACAGAAACACCCUUACAGAAAAUCCAGAAUGAUAACUGGCCAAAGAUCUGUGCAUCACGGCCCAGCCAGGCUCAUGUAAUCUUGAUCGUCUUAGCUCCUUUGUAUGCUGCUCUAGGUUUUGACCUUGCUGGGCUGCUCAAGCCAUUGAUUCCAUCUCUUUUAAAUUCUCAGUCACAUCCCUUUAGGCCACCCCUUCCUCUUUGCCCAGAUUAAUAACUCACUACAAACACCGUGAAUUCCAUUACCACUUUCACCCUUUAAACUUAAAAUUUACCGCAUGCUAUGUCAAUAUAUUCUAUUGACUUUCCAUCAGUAACACUGAAUGCAAAAUACUGAGACAUCCUCAGAAUUUCUGUGGGAAAAUAAUUCUGCAUCAAUCACUGUAAACUAAUAUUAAGACGUGCCAGGACUUAUGAACUUCACCAUCCACACAAUUUCUAAAGUUCUAAAAUUCAAAAUGAAAGAAUUACUAAAGGAUAGGUUCUCGCAAAAUACAAAUGAGCCAUAGGAAAAAACCAUGAAUUAAAUAUAGCAGCUGAUGAA